rnacentral:rRNA from 1 species
UCCGUAGGUGAACCUGCGGAAGGAUCAUUACCGAUUUUAGCGAGCCUUGACCUCUUUGGUCAUGGUCUCGCGAAAACUUUGUAUUUAAAACCCCACUCUUUAUUAUGUAAAUGAAUCAUUUUAUUAUUAUUAUUAAUAAAUAAAGAUCACUUUCAACAACGGAUCUCUUGGCUCUCGCAUCGAUGAAGAACGUAGCGAAGUGCGAUAAGUAGUGUGAAUUGCAGAAUUCCGUGAAUCAUCGAAUCUUUGAACGCAAAUUGCACUCUCUGGCAACCCGGGGAGUAUGCCUGUUUGAGGGUCAGUGUAAUUAAAAAUCGGUGUGUUGCACUCCUCGUGUGUGUGACGUUUCCGGAGUUUGGGUUAUCUUAAACCUUCAGGUUUUAAGAGGCUUAAAAUUGACCAUCUUUUGCGCAUUUUUAGACGUACAUAAAUUUUUUUUAUUCGUCUUGACUUGUGCCAAAAUUCUAUUAGACUCGACCAUGUAAUUCGUACGUGUCUAUAAAGUUAUUCAUGAUUUGACCUCAAAUCAGGUAGGAACACCCGCUGAACUUAAGCACAUCAAUAAGCGGAGGA